GAUGAACGCUAGCGGCAGGCCUAAUACAUGCAAGUCGAGGGGCAGCACGGGUAGCAAUACCUGGUGGCGACCGGCGCACGGGUGCGUAACACGUAUACAAUCUGCCUUUAACAGGGGGAUAGCCCGGAGAAAUCCGGAUUAAUACCCCAUAAUAUAUUGAGUGGCAUCACUUGAUAUUGAAAGCUCCGGCGGUUAAAGAUGAGUAUGCGCCUGAUUAGUUAGUUGGUGAGGUAACGGCUCACCAAGACGACGAUCAGUAGGGGAUCUGAGAGGACUACCCCCCACACGGAUACUGAGACACGGAUCCGACUCCUACGGGAGGCAGCAGUAAGGAAUAUUGGACAAUGCCCGCAAGGGUGAUCCAGCCAUGCCGCGUGCAGGAAGACGGCCCUAUGGGUUGUAAACUGCUUUUACACCGGAGAAAACCCCUCGCUCGUUAGCGAGGCUGAUAGUAUGGUGAGAAUAAGCAUCGGCUAACUUCGUGCCAGCACG
rnacentral:rRNA from 1 species